CUUGGUCAUUUAGAGGAAGUAAAAGUCGUAACAAGGUUUCCGUAGGUGAACGUGCGGAAGGAUCAUUAUCGAAAUUAUUGGUGAGGGUUGUAGCUGGCCUUUCGAGGCAUGUGCACGCUCGAGCCCUUAAUCCACUUUACACCUGUGCACUUAAUGUAGGUCGCCCUUAAAAAAGGUGACCUAUGUCUUAUCAUCAACCCAUCGUAUGUCUCAUAGAAUGUAAUCGAUAUCCUCGCCCUAAAAAAGCGUUGAUAAACUUAUACAACUUUCAACAACGGAUCUCUUGGCUCUCGCAUCGAUGAAGAACGCAGCGAAAUGCGAUAAGUAAUGUGAAUUGCAGGUUUUCAGUGAAUCAUCGAAUCUUUGAACGCACCUUGCGCUCCUUGGUAUUCCGAGGAGCAUGCCUGUUUGAGUGUCAUUAAAUUCUCAACUCCAAGGGUUUCACGACCUUUCGGAGAUUGGACUUGGAGGUGCUGGCCGCAUAUUGGUCGGCUCCUCUCAAAUGCAUCAGCGGAAUUCAACCUUUGGCUUCCGGAUGUCAGUGUGAUAAUCAUGUUGCGCUGUCGUUUGAUCCCUCAGAGUCCGCUUAUAAUGGUCUUCGGACAAAAUCAUCAUCAAAUUUGACCUCAAAUCAGGUAGGACUACCCGCUGAACUUAAGCAUAUCAAUAAGCGGAGA
rnacentral:rRNA from 1 species